GCCGUGCUUGUUCAUGUGUUCUCACCUCCUGCUGCAUCCCCCGGGAUUCCAACGGAAAUGUGGCAUUCUUGCGUUUUGCUUGCUUCUUGCAUGAGUGGAGAACAUGAUGCUGCUGCCAAUACCGAGACUGCACUUAGAAUGCUGUGCCUACACUCUUCGUGAACUAGGUUUAACGCCGGUUUGGCAUCGGGGUACCGGGUUCGAUUCCCUCGAGGAUGCGUCAAACGAAGAACACAUAAAAGACGAUAGCGAUGCUACAACAAAAAUGGCAGAGAGAUGUGUGGAUAUCAUGCGACACUCAAAGCAGAUGCAUUUCCAACGAUAAAGUCAACGAAAUCACAAAGGUGAGUUUUGUUGAUGUUCUUGACUUAUGUGACAUAUUUGGUCACGGCAUGACUGUCAGCUAAUCGAUGCUAACAUGCUAUUUAGGCUAGCUGAAUGUACAUUUUUA